UACGUAGGCAGCAAGCGUUGUUCGGAAUUACUGGGCGUAAAGAGUGUGUAGGCGGUGCUCUAAGUUCGGUGUGAAAUCUCCCGGCUUAACUGGGAGGGUGCGCCGGAAACUGGAGUGCUUGAGCGCGGGAGAGGAAAGCGGAAUUCCUGGUGUAGCGGUGAAAUGCGUAGAUAUCAGGAGGAACAUCGAUGGCGAAGGCAGCCCCUUGGACCUGUACUGACGCUCAUGCACGAAAGCGUGGGGAGCAAACAGG
rnacentral:rRNA from 1 species